AUACUUGAUGUUUGAUAAAUAAAGACAGAAAACUUACACGAAGGAGAAAUACAGGCAAUGACUCUACUACGAGGAAUAUAUACUUAUAUAUUAGUUUAUUAUAACUAUAGCGUUUCCAGACUGACUCACUACUGUCGGACGUUGUUGGGGAAAAAAAAUAUAACCAUUUAUACAGCUUCAAAAUUAUCUGAUGACAACGGAUACACAUAUAUUAUUUUUUUUGCAUUACGCAUUUAGUCAUUAGAUAUUUUAUUGAUAUCAACCUCCAUUGACUCAUCGGGAUUUUACCCUGAAAAAAUUAUAAUUACUUUUUUUUAUAAGAUUUCAGUCAAUACUUAGGAGCGGAUGAGAAGGACAAGAUAAAUAUAUAUAGACUUGUAUAAUUAAUCAAUUGUCAUGCCAAUGGCACAACCAAAGCCGUAUAGUAAGGCCAGAAGUCUACACUAGUUUGUCAAGGUCGAGGUUUUUAAGCAUCACCGGCCGUAAGAUUUCUAGGACAAGCUUGUGUCAUAUCAGAGAAUUACUUAUAUUGUCGGUGACGAAAUAAACAAACAAUGAUAUUAAGUAAUCGAAGAUGAAUAAAAUUUAUAAUUAUAUUUUAAAGAAUGUGGCCUUGCACCUUAAUAUAAGUUUUCUUUUAAUCGAUUGGCCAAGUUCAAUGUCGUGUAGGUCGAAAGUUGAAUGGCCCAAUAUAGACGCAGACAUGCAACCACGCACCCAAGAUUUUCCCAGCUACUAAUAUUAUAUUAUAUAUAUAAUGCGACUACGCCCAAAAUACUCAAAUAUAACAACUCGAUCCAAUUGCAUCUUAAUAAUAAAAAUAAAAAAAAAUAAAACGCUUAUGGUUUAUAUAAAAAGAUAAUUAGGAGUGUCAAGGUUAUUUUGUAAACUAAAAUAUAAACAUAUGUGCUUCAGUAAUUUUUAAAUUAUAAGCUUUAAU